rnacentral:rRNA from 1 species
AAAAAAGGUAAGCUACUAAGAGCGAAUGGUGGAUGCCUUGACUGGUAAAGGCGAUGAAGGACGUACUAGACUGCGAUAAGCUACGGGGAGCUGUCAAGAAGCUUUGAUCCGUAGAUUUCCGAAUGGGGCAACCCAAUGUAUAGAGAUAUACAUUACCUAUAUAGGAGCGAACGAGGGGAAUUGAAACAUCUUAGUACCCUCAGGAAAAGAAAUCAAUAGAGAUUGCGUCAGUAGCGGCGAGCGAAAGCGCAAGAGGGCAAACCCAGUGCUUGCACUGGGGGUUGUAGGACUGCAAUGUGCAAGAGGUAAGUUUAGCAGAACAUUCUGGAAAGUAUAACCAUAGAGGGUGAUAGUCCCGUAUGCGAAAAACAAACCUUAGCUAGCAGUAUCCUGAGUAGGGCGGGACACGAGGAAUCCUGUCUGAAUCUGGGUCGACCACGAUCCAACCCUAAAUACUAAUACCAGAUCGAUAGUGCACAAGUACCGUGAGGGAAAGGUGAAAAGAACUGAGGUGAUCAGAGUGAAAUAGAACCUGAAACCAUUUGCUUACAAUCAUUCAGAGCCCUAUGUAGCAAUACAGGGUGAUGGACUGCCUUUUGCAUAAUGAGCCUGCGAGUUGUGGUGUCUGGCAAGGUUAAGCAAACGCGAAGCCGUAGCGAAAGCGAGUCUGAAUAGGGCGCUUAGUCAGAUGCUGCAGACCCGAAACGAAGUGAUCUAUCCAUGAGCAAGUUGAAGCUAGUGUAAGAACUAGUGGAGGACUGAACCCAUAGGCGUUGAAAAGCCCCGGGAUGACUUGUGGAUAGGGGUGAAAGGCCAAUCAAACUUCGUGAUAGCUGGUUCUCUCCGAAAUAUAUUUAGGUAUAGCGUUGUGUCGUAAUAUAAGGGGGUAGAGCACUGAAUGGGCUAGGGCAUACACCAAUGUACCAAACCCUAUCAAACUCCGAAUACCUUAUAUGUAAUCACAGCAGUCAGGCGGCGAGUGAUAAAAUCCGUCGUCAAGAGGGAAACAACCCAGACUACCAGCUAAGGUCCCUAAAUCUUACUUAAGUGGAAAACGAUGUGAAGUUACUUAAACAACCAGGAGGUUGGCUUAGAAGCAGCCAUCCUUUAAAGAAAGCGUAAUAGCUCACUGGUCUAGUGAUUUUGCGCGGAAAAUAUAACGGGGCUAAAGUAAGUACCGAAGCUGUAGACUUGCGCACAACUUAGAUUAUUUAAGUUUAGAAUAUGAGAAACUAAGUUAUAUGUUUAGUUAUAUUUUUACUGAUUUUUAUAGAGUAAAGAUAGAAAUAAAACUUAGUAAAAUCAGUAAAAAUAUUCUUAGACUAAAAUUAAGUAGUUUAAGUUGUGUGCAAGUGGUAGGAGAGCGUUCUAUUUGCGUCGAAGGUAUACCGGUAAGGAGUGCUGGAGCGAAUAGAAGUGAGCAUGCAGGCAUGAGUAGCGAUAAUUAAUGUGAGAAUCAUUAACGCCGUAAACCCAAGGUUUCCUACGCGAUGCUCGUCAUCGUAGGGUUAGUCGGGUCCUAAGUCGAGUCCGAAAGGGGUAGACGAUGGCAAAUUGGUUAAUAUUCCAAUACCAACAUUAGUGUGCGAUGGAAGGACGCUUAGGGCUAAGGGGGCUAGCGGAUGGAAGUGCUAGUCUAAGGUCGUAGGAGGUUAUACAGGCAAAUCCGUAUAACAAUACUCCGAGAACUGAAAGGCUUUUUGAAGUCUUCGGAUGGAUAGAAGAACCCCUGAUGCCGUCGAGCCAAGAAAAGU